GGUGAACGCUGGCGGUAGGCCUAACACAUGCAAGUCGAACGGCAGCACAGUAAGAGCUUGCUCUUACGGGUGGCGAGUGGCGGACGGGUGAGGAAUACAUCGGAAUCUACUUUUUCGUGGGGGAUAACGUAGGGAAACUUACGCUAAUACCGCAUACGACCUACGGGUGAAAGCAGGGGAUCUUCGGACCUUGCGCGAUUGAAUGAGCCGAUGUCGGAUUAGCUAGUUGGCGGGGUAAAGGCCCACCAAGGCGACGAUCCGUAGCUGGUCUGAGAGGAUGAUCAGCCACACUGGAACUGAGACACGGUCCAGACUCCUACGGGAGGCAGCAGUGGGGAAUAUUGGACAAUGGGCGCAAGCCUGAUCCAGCCAUACCGCGUGGGUGAAGAAGGCCUUCGGGUUGUAAAGCCCUUUUGUUGGGAAAGAAAAGCAGUAGGUUAAUACCCCGCUGUUCUGACGGUACCCAAAGAAUAAGCACCGGCUAACUUCGUG
rnacentral:rRNA from 1 species